rnacentral:lncRNA from 10 species
AAGAGCUCCAUUUUUCCCGCUCCACAGAGGACAUUUUAUUUUUGCAGUUCUUUGAAGUGCCCUCAGAGAUCUAAGCACCAGGCUGAAGGCAGCUCUGUGUAUCCUUGCAACAGAUUAGAACAUAUUCACAUUUUAUUUGCUCACAGAACAAAUAUUUCCCUUGGAAUGAGACCGAGGCAGUGGAGCAGGACCAGGCAGGACCAGCCACCAAAGACGGCCCCCCAGGCCCCAUGCUGGGCCUGCUCAGCGCCUGCACAAUUGGUUCCACAUAAUUGCUUCUCCACACUCACCUCAUUUAGGCCCUAUAGACACAUAUGGGCUGAUUAGUUGAGUCAUUUAUUGAUUCAGGAAUAUUUGUCGAGCCUCAACAAUGUACCAAACACUAUGCUGGUUACAGAAAUAAAGAGAGAAACACAUUCUGUCCUCAAGGGGCUCCUAAUCAAGUAGGGGAGAGAAGCAAUGUCUGUAUAUUAAUGAAUCAAAUCAAGGUGACAAAGAUAAGGCUUCAGAACCCAGGAGACAAAGUGUUUGAGGCCGAAGCUCCCUAGCGCUGGGGCCUCCACUCUGGGAAGGGCCCUGUGGGUGAAUCUCUGAGCGUUUACUGGGCUCCUUCUCUACCUGGGCUGCCGCACCCAGAACAGUUCUUAGAGUUUCCAGCCUCCUGAGCUCGCGGAAUAGCAAAGAAGAAUCAGAAAUGUUUCAAAUACAGCUAAGACCGUCUUUGGUUCCACCCAACACUUUCUCCUCAUGAGUGAUGGUAAUGUCCUGAUGAAUUUCUGCUUGGAAACAACUGGACUCAGUCAGUUGAGAAAUGACAGAGCUCAUAUGCACAACACCUUGAAGCCUUCCUUCAGCAAUGCGGACGAUACACACAACCUUCAACACUUCAGAGAGAAUCCUCCGUGAUGAUGUAUGCUCAAGUAUUUUGGUGUGAGAUGUCAUGAUACCUAUAACUUACUUAUUAAAAAUUCAGGCCAGGCACAGUGGCUCAUGCC